rnacentral:rRNA from 1 species
UUGACAUACACCGGAAAACCGUGGAGACACGGUCCCCCUUGUGGUCGGUGUACAGGUGGUGCAUGGCUGUCGUCAGCUCGUGUCGUGAGAUGUUGGGUUAAGUCCCGCAACGAGCGCAACCCUUAUCCUGUGUUGCCAGCACGCCCUUCGGGGUGGUGGGGACUCACGGGAGACUGCCGGGGUCAACUCGGAGGAAGGUGGGGACGACGUCAAGUCAUCAUGCCCCUUAUGUCUUGGGCUGCACACGUGCUACAAUGGC